rnacentral:misc_RNA from 1 species
GAUGAAGAACGCAGCGAAAUGCGAUAAGUAAUGUGAAUUGCAGAAUUCAGUGAAUCAUCGAAUCUUUGAACACACAUUGCGCCCGCCAGUAUUCUGGCGGGCAUGCCUGUCUGAGCGUCAUUUCAACCCUCAUGCCCCUAGGGCGUGGUGUUGGGGAUCGGCCAAAGCCCGCGAGGGACGGCCGGCCCCUAAAUCUAGUGGCGGACCCGUCGUGGCCUCCUCUGCGAAGUAGUGAUAUUCCGCAUCGGAGAGCGACGAGCCCCUGCCGUUAAACCCCCAACUUUCCAAGGUUGACCUCAGAUCAGGUAGGAAUACCCGCUGAACUUAAGCAUAUCAAUAAGCGGAGGA